rnacentral:tRNA from 1 species
UAGAAGAUAUUGAUUGAGGCUGCUAACUUUGAUCUGGGGGAGACUGCCUCCUCUUCUAU